rnacentral:sRNA from 1 species
GGAUGUGAGACAAUCUGGCUGCGACAUCUGUCACCCCAUUGAUCACCAGGGUCGAUUCGGCUCAUCUGGCUGGCUAGGAGGGUGUCCCCUUCCUCCCUCACCGCUCCAUGUGUGUCCCUCCCGAAGCUGCACAGUUGGUCGAAGAGGACGACCACCCCAAGAGAGGAGGACGAUAACUGGAAAUGGGAGCUUUCAUCAUGGAAGCCUAUUAAGGAGACUGCUUGAGGCCCUACACUAUUGGAAAGAGAUGUAUUAAAUCCAAUCCUUUGAAGGAACAGAACUAGGCAAGAGUAGCCUUGGUACAGAGGGCAGUCUCU